ACCUCCAUAGUACCUGCAGCGUGCUUGACUUUCUCUAUGGUGCAGUUACUGUGGCUGUGG
rnacentral:pre_miRNA from 1 species